rnacentral:rRNA from 1 species
GAUGAACGUUGGCGGCGUGCCUAAUACAUGCAAGUCGAACGUAAGCCCUGGUUUCGACUGGGGUGAAAGUGGCGAACGGGUGAGGAACACAUGGCCGACCUGCCCCUCAGAGGGGAGUAACCACUGGAAACGGUAGGCUAAUACCCACUACGCUCACGCUGGUUAGAGGCGGUGUGAGGAAAGCGUUAGUGCUGAGGGAGGGGGCGUGUGGCCCAUCAGCUAGUUGGUAGGGUAAAGGCCUACCAAGGCGAUGACGGGUAGGGGGCCUGAGAGGGUGACCCCCCACACGGGCACUGAGACACGGGCCCGGACUCCUACGGGAGGCAG